ensembl:lncRNA
UGGCGUCUGACUCCGGUCAGCAGCCCCCGUUUUCUGGGCUCAGGUGUCGUCGGGCGGCUCUGAGCCGCGUGCAGUGCCGCUCCACGCACAGACCGGGGAACUGGCUUUCCUGGUGUCACCGGGUUAUCAGUGGCUGGGCACGGAACACAUCUUGGGUGUGUCUGACAUAAAGCCAUCCUUUUACUGGGAUCUGUGUGACCUCAGAACAAGCAGACACGUGGGAAGAGUGAUCCAGCCGUCACUUGAGUGAUGGUAGGAGGUCUGGUCAGAGCAGGAUGUGGAAGCUGUGGUUGGCUGGCCAGGACAAGCCCAAAUGGCUAAGGGUUGGGUGAUUAGCCCCUUUGCCCUCUCUGAUCCCGAGGCCUGUCUAUCACAAAAGCACAAACCUACCCUAACCCACGUGGCCUGGCCCUGAGGAGAGUGGGGACCCUGGUGCUGGACACCCCAAGCUGUGUGUGUGCAGAUCUCUGCAGGAUGGUGGCUGGCAGGCACCUCAACACCCCUAUACAAAGGGACCCAAGACCAGAUGGGACAUGGCCUGCCCUGGCCAAACCCUUUUCCUGUCCUCUUGCCAGGCCUGCUCCUGCACCAGGCAGCCCCCUAAAAGUGGACCAAAUGUGCACAGUAUCAGCCUGUCUGCCUGUCUCCCCACUCCCCAAUUCUUCCCACUGGAGCUUUCUGUUUCCAGGGCCACCUCUGGCCCCCUUUGCUGCGCUGUGUAAGGGCUUGGGGUCUUAGAAACCGCUGUUUAGCCCAGAUACACAUACUCUUUUUGUCUUUGUGCAAUAAUCAGUGUUCCUGGCAGAGCCUGGGUUGAGCCAGGGUUUGAGGAGGAGACAGGCCGCCUCCUCCUGGAAGCCCUCCACCCAGCCCUGCUGCUGUGACUAUCGCACUCCCAGUCGCUGCACAGUUUCUAUGGUGUGAAUAAACUUCCCUCCUAGUUGCUGAUGGCGCUGGUACCUACUGGCCCAGACCGCCUGGGGUAGAGAAACCAAGUGGCAGGCGCCACCAGUGUUGUUUUGAAUAAAACCCGAAGCCUAUUUCAGAA